UAAUCCAUUUAAAAUAACAAUGAUGGAGAAUUGUCAUAAAAUUUUCAAUCCAGGUUAAAUUUUUUCUCCAAAAGAGCAUUAUGUUUAUAAGAUUAAAAACAAAUAAUUCAAGCUCUAAAAGUUACUUUUCCCUACAAAAAAACUAUUGUGAAAUUCUAUUUUUUUUUCAAAGCAGAGACUAACAAAAGCAGGGGGAAGGUAGGAAAGGAACAGAAAAGUGGAUUUAAGAGAUAAUGUAUUGCAUUUAAAGAAUUUGAAUGCCAUUACUUUUCAUCACUUAACUUUUCAAAGAACACUUUCAGCUUCCUUAUUUGCAUGUUUCAUUGUUUUCCAGCCUUUAAGCACUGUAUGUUUAAAAUGCAAAUGGAAUGAUAUAAGAAUAAUGAGAAGUAAUACUUGGAAAUGUUCUGUGAAAAUGUUGAAAGAGGGCCUGGUUUCCAUCUGAUUGAAAGGAGGUGAGGCUUGAGAGAGCAAUCAGACUGGAUAUAUUUUACCUUAAGGUCUAACUAGUAGCCCAUUGCUAGCCCUCUUUCUCUUGUGUACUGUUGAAAAUUAGUUAACAUUUCCUUUUUCAUGACUCUCUUAUUAUUUAUCUAUUUCUCUUAUUCUUCACAUUAGGUACCUAUCAAUCAGUUAACCUCAAUUCAAUGAACAUUUAUUGAGCACUUAUUAACUAGUCAUUGUCAUCUCUGGAAUGUAGAAUCAAUAGUUCUCUAUUAAGAGAAGCAGGGUUUGGAUAAGGGACAAACAUGGGGAAACAUUUGUCAGCCUCCUGCUCCACCCCUUUUGGUAUCUGACUCUCCACUGGAUGGGCUAAAAAAUCAGACGUCUUGGGUUGGAGUCCUGCAUUGCCAUUUCUCAAACAUGCUACUUACCUUCUCUGAGCCUCCAUCUCCUCACCUGUAAAAGGGAAUGAUAACAUCUUUGGUGGCUGUGAUGACUGAAACAAUACAAAUAAGAUGCUUAUAGCAAUAGCGCAGAUGAUCUCUUUCCUUUGGUUUGUGAUGCAACAAAGAAAGUGUGGGGUGACCAGACAUCAUAGUUUGCCUGAGACUGAUGAAUUUCCUGGGACAUGGUUCUGUCAGUUUUAAAAUGGAAUGGUGCCAGACAAAUCUGGAUGAAGUUGUCAGCCUAGAGACAGAAGGAUGUGUAUUCAGUUAGUCUUAAUCCCAACUUGAAUAAAUCAAAUUACAUGCUGGAAGAACAAAGUUAUACUGGGGCAUAGAGCAGAGCAUAGCAAAUUCCGUCACAAAGAAGAAGGAAAGAGCAUGUCAUACAGAGGGAGCUGAAGAAGCAAAGGCAUGGAGAUGAGAAACCUGAGGCACAGAGUCACUAGCCACUUUCCCAAGAUCCCACAGUUGGGCAGCGAUGGAGCAAGAAUUUGAACCCAGGCAGUGUACCUCCAAAGCCCCGGCUCUUAGCCCCAUCCCCUAUGUUCUACACUAACAGCUUUAAUUCCUAUUUUGCUAACCCUAGCAUCUAACUACUAUUGCAGAAACUCCAGUCUCCAGCAAAGUACCCACUGAUCCCACCCUCAAUUAUUUCUGGGAAUUCCCAGAGAUUGCUGUGCUUCUAGAAACAUAUUCUAUCUUCAGAAUCAAACUGGCGUCAGUGCUGAGAUCUAAGCCACAAGCUCAUGCUAGGAGAAAUAUUCUUACCUUGAAAAAACACAUACAAUUUAUUAAAUCAAAGAAAUCAGCAACAGCUGUGUGGAAGAUAAAGAUAAAGAAGAAAUAAUUUGUGGAAGAAAUAUUUUGGGACAGUACACUUUCCUCCUCUGGCAACUUUCCCUUAAUACAUACAAAAGAAAGAAAUGGGUCAGCAUCCCCACUCCGGAAUGGUUGCGUAAGCAAGAGGAGUCUUUUAAAGCUUGUGCCAAGACUCUGAGCAGUUUCAUUCAUCUCGCAUUUACUGCUUUUACUGCUGGGCUCUGGGACUACAGUCCCUCCCUCUUGGAAUAUACAGUCUAGAGAAAGAAAGAGACAAGUAAACAGUAAAUGAGGCCUAACUUCUGGAAUGCCAAGGAAAGCCUCACAGGAAGGAGUCUUGCUGGAGACUUUCUGCUGUGAAACCACCCAAGGAGGGUGCUGGGUGAUUGGCCCUGACCCACCUGUCAGGAAAGAGGGAUUUGGACACUAUGUUGCCACAUGAUUGACGAGAUGGUAUAUGAAGAAGUCCCGUUCCAGUUGAAUAGGUUUGCAGAUCUUUCGGUGUGUGAGGACCUCAGACUGAUAAGCAUAAGGCUAAGAAAGGAUACUUCUAAGAGCAGCCACUGAAGGAUACUCAAGAAGCUUCACACUUCAUAAAAGACGGGACAUUUUAACAACAAAAUAUUGGGGAAACCUCGGUCUCAGAAUUACUCGAGUCAAUAUUCACAGUUAAUCGAAUGGAGGAAAGAACACUUUUCUUUUUGGAAUAAGACUCAAGAGUGAAUCCCAGCUCUGCCAAUUAUUCCUUAUAUGACACUGGCUGAGAUAAUUAAUAUUUCUGAGCCUCACAAAUAAAAUCACGCAAUGAAAUCGUGCAGCCCACAUGGUUUUCAGAAUGCAACCAAUGAGUAGUUUUACAUUCCUAUGCUGUUUAGUACAUAGUAGGUGCUCAAAAAUAUCCAUUCCCUCCCUCCCACACCCUUUCCCCCCUACUCAUUUUACUCACCUCAGAGGAUUGCUGUGAUGAUUGAGUAAGACAAUAACAAGAGAAUGUUUGGUGAACCGUAAGGCAUUAUUUAAAUGUAAGUUUCAUGAGACAGAAGGUGCUUUGCUUUAAGCACAUGCAUUUUCCUUUUCAUAAGGUGUGUAAUACGUGGUGCAGGAACCCUCAGGAAAAAAAAAAAACAAAAACUAGUGCCUUGUCUGAUGCCUCCAAGACUCACAUAGCCCCUGGAUGAAACUGUAUAUAAAAUGUAGAUGUUAUUUUAAUAAAUACUGUCCACAUAGUGAA